GACAAGCAGCGGAGCAUGUGGUUAAUUCGAAGCAACGCGAAGAACCUUACCAGGGCUUGACAUGCCGCUGACCGGUUUAGAGAUAGACCUUUAUCCUUCGGGGUACAGCGGACACAGGUGGUGCAUGGUUGUCGUCAGCUCGUGUCGUGAGAUGUUGGGUUAAGUCCCGCAACGAGCGCAACCCUUGUCUUUAGUUGCCAUCAUUAAGUUGGGCACUCUAAAGAGACUGCCGAUGACAAAUCGGAGGAAGGUGGGGAUGACGUCAAAUCAUCAUGCCCUUUAUGUCCUGGGCUACACACGUGCUACAAUGGUCGGUACAACGAGAAGCAAGCCAGCGAUGGCAAGCAAAUCUCUAAAAGCCGAUCCCAGUUCGGAUUGCAGGCUGCAACUCGCCUGCAUGAAGUCGGAGUUGCUAGUAAUCGCGGAUCAGAAUGCCGCGGUGAAUGCGUUCCCGGGUCUU
rnacentral:rRNA from 2 species